GAUGAAGAACGCAGCGAAAUGCGAUAAGUAAUGUGAAUUGCAGAAUUCAGUGAAUCAUCGAAUCUUUGAACGCACAUUGCGCCCUUUGGUAUUCCAAAGGGCAUGCCUGUUCGAGCGUCAUUUGUACCCUCAAGCUUUGCUUGGUGUUGGGCGUCUUGUCUCCAGUUCGCUGGAGACUCGCCUUAAAGUAAUUGGCAGCCGGCCUACUGGUUUCGGAGCGCAGCACAAGUCGCGCUCUCUUCCAGCCAAGGUCAGCAUCCACAAAGCCUUUUUUCAACUUUUGACCUCGGAUCAGGUAGGGAUACCCGCUGAACUUAAGCAUAUCAAUAAGCGGAGGA
rnacentral:misc_RNA from 1 species